GAUUAUUACACUUUGUGUGAUCUUACAUUAAUUGUGAAAAUAUUUGUCAGUUUCACAGACGAUGACUAAAGAAUGAACACAUAAGCGACUCGUCUUGUUUUCGAUUGUUGGACCACAGCUGCUCUGGUUGUGUGUUUGUGUGUGAGUGAGUACCUGCUGCUCUCAGUGUGCAUCAUGUUCGUGUUGGUGGAGAUGGUGGACACUGUCAGGAUCGCUCCGUGGGACUUCGAAAGACAACUCAACGACGCCAUAGUCGAGGAGCUCAACAAGAAACUGGCCAACAAGGUGGUCUACAAUGUUGGCCUCUGCAUCUGCUUGUACGACAUCACUAAACUGGAGGACUCCUACAUAUUCCCAGGGGAUGGAGCCUCACACACUAAAGUUCAUUUUAGGUAUGUUGUUUUUCACCCUUUCCUCGAAGAGAUCCUGAUCGGCAAGAUCAAGUACUGCAGUCAGGAGGGAGUUCAUGUGACAAUGGGCUUCUUUGAUGACAUCCUCAUUCCCCCGGAGUCGCUUCAACAGCCUGCAAAGUUUGAUGAAGCCGAGCAGGUCUGGCUUUGGGAGUAUGAGACAGACGAGGGGGCCCACGACCUCUACAUGGAUCAGGGAGAGGAGAUCCGUUUUCGGGUGACGGACGAAGUCUUUGUGGACACAUCACCGACGGGCCCGGCCACUGCAGCGACUGACACUCCGACACAACCAGGACAGUCGACAGCACCGCCAGCAGAGGAUGGCAUGGGGAAGAAGGAGGCGCCGUACACUCUGAUUGGGACCAUCUGUGAGCCAGGACUCGGGCUGUUGUCAUGGUGGAACAGUUAGCACAGCACAGGAAGAGAGAAUCACGCUGUUACGAACAGAUCGACCAUCGUGGCUGAUCGGAGAGACGAGUGACGAUCAGGACGCUGAACCCUGCUGUGUCGAGACAAAAUGGAUCGAGACACUGUUAGUGUAGAAGUGAUGGAGGUAAACUCUGUCACACCAAGACUGAUUAUACAGUACACUCUGCCCUAAACAUGCCAGACUACAGAGAAUGGUGAAGUCUCAGGUUUGGUUCGUCUCACAUGUGAUCCUCACCCCAGAUCAAAAGAAAGCAAGAAGUAAUCGAUGAUGAUUUGAACGGUCAUAGCUACUGCAGCCUGGUGGUAGGACACAGGUCACAAAAUCUGGGACAAAUAAACUUGGUGUUCAUUCAUGUCAGACAUUGGGAACAUUUAGUUUAAAGUUGAGAGAAAUAAGGUAGAGUGACACUUGAGAUGUCGUGACAGUGGGAGUCAAAUAUGUUGUUUCAAACUUAUUUUAAAUUUUGUUUUAUGUUCCAGGUUUUUGUACCCACCUCCUCUGUUUAUUUACCAGCCUUGUGAUAUUUUGUAUUUCUCUCAUCUCACAGUAAAAUGGGUGAAUUUUCAA